rnacentral:pre_miRNA from 11 species
GACCGCACGUGAUAAUCGAUUAUCCCGUGCGGUCAAAUUAUACGGACCGCACGGGAAAAUCGUUUAUCUCGUGUGGUC